rnacentral:miRNA from 1 species
UUGCACUCUGGCCUUCUCCCAGG